UACGAAGGGGGCAAGCGUUGUUCGGAAUUACUGGGCGUAAAGAGUGUGUAGGUGGUGUCGUAAGUUUGGUGUGAAAUCUCCCGGCUUAACUGGGAGGGUGCGCCGAAGACUGCGAUGCUGGAGUAUGGGAGAGGAAAGCGGAAUUCCUGGUGUAGCGGUGAAAUGCGUAGAUAUCAGGAGGAACACCUGCGGUGUAGACGGCUUUCUGGACCAUUACUGACACUGAGACACGAAAGCGUGGGUAGCAAACAGG
rnacentral:rRNA from 1 species